UACGGGGGGGGCAAGCGUUGUUCGGAAUUAUUGGGCCUAAAGCAUCCGUAGCCGGUUCUACAAGUCUUCCGUUAAAUCCACCUGCUUAACAGAUGGGCUGCGGAGGAUACUAUAGAGCUAGGAGGCGGGAGAGGCAAGCGGUACUUAGUGGGUAGGGGUAAAAUCCGUUGAUCCAUUGAAGACCACCAGUGGCGAAGGCGGCUUGCCAGAACGCACUCGACGGUGAGGGAUGAAAGCUGGGGGAGCAAACCGG
rnacentral:rRNA from 1 species